AAACCAACAGGGAUUGCCUCAGUAACGGCGAGUGAAGCGGCAAGAGCUCAAAUUUGAAAUCGGUAUUUUAUAUCGAGUUGUAGUUUGAAGGGAGGACUCUGUGGAGUGGUGAGCAGCGAUGUUCCUUGGAAGAGGACGUGACACAAGGUGAUAAUCCUGUAGCUGUGAUCCGUGACACGUGUAGGGUCCCCCCGAAGAGUCGAGUUGUUUGGGAAUGCAGCUCUAAGUGGGUGGUAAACUCCAUCUAAAGCUAAAUACUAGCGAGAGACCGAUAGCGAACAAGUACAGUGAUGGAAAGAUGAAAAGAACUUUGAAAAGAGAGUGAAAGAGUGCGUGAAAUUGUUGAAAGGGAAGGAUAUUAGGUGAGGCGGGGACGUGGGUUCUGUAUUAUCUCUUGUAGAUUGUAUUAUGCCCACGUCCAGGCCGGUGUGGGUGGGGAGCGGGCGAUGAAAGCUAUUCUUUGAACCUAGUUCUAGGAACAGUCAACAGCCCUCCCCCCACCAUGGACAGACGACACCGACACAAUGACCUAACAUCGC
rnacentral:rRNA from 1 species